rnacentral:rRNA from 1 species
GGAUUGCCCCAGUAACGGCGAGUGAAGCGGCAACAGCUCAAAUUUGAAAUCUGGUCCCCCCCCGCGGGGCCCGAGUUGUAAUUUGAAGAGGAUGCUUCUGGCAAGGUGCCGUCCGAGUUCCCUGGAACGGGACGCCGCAGAGGGUGAGAGCCCCGUACGGUCGGAUGCCGAGCCUCUGUGAAGCUCCUUCGACGAGUCGAGUAGUUUGGGAAUGCUGCUCAAAAUGGGAGGUAAACCCCUUCUAAAGCUAAAUACCGGCCAGAGACCGAUAGCGCACAAGUAGAGUGAUCGAAAGAUGAAAAGCACUUUGAAAAGAGAGUUAAAAAGCACGUGAAAUUGUUGAAAGGGAAGCGCUUGCGACCAGACUCGCGCCCGUCGGAUCAGCCGUCGCUCGUCGGCGGCGCACUCCGGCGGGCUCGGGCCAGCAUCAGUUCGCCUCGGGGGGAGAAAGGCGGCAGGAAUGUGGCUCUACGGAGUGUUAUAGCCUGCCGUACAAUACCCCCGGGCGGACUGAGGACCGCGCGUAUGCAAGGAUGCUGGCGUAAUGGUCGUCAGCGACCCGUCUUGAAACACGGACCAAGGAGUCGUCCUAAUAUGCGAGUGUACGGGUGUCAAACCCCUGCGCGUAAUGAAAGUGAACGGAGGUGAGAGCUUCGGCGCAUCAUCGACCGAUCCUGAUGUUCUCGGAUGGAUUUGAGUAAGAGCAUAUUGGGCCGGACCCGAAAGAAGGUGAACUAUGCCUGUGUAGGGUAAAGCCAGAGGAAACUCUGGUGGAGGCUCGCAGCGGUUCUGACGUGCAAAUCGAUCGUCAAACAUGGGCAUGGGGGCGAAAGACUAAUCGAACCUUCUAGUA